rnacentral:rRNA from 1 species
AUUGAACGCUGGCGGCAGGCCUAACACAUGCAAGUCGAGCGGAGCGGCGGACGGGUGAGUAAUGCCUAGGAAUCUGCCUGGUAGUGGGGGAUACCGUCCGGAAACGGGCGCUAAUACCUCAUCCUACCAGUUGGCCCAAGGUCGGAUUGCCGAGUUGGUGGGGUAAAGGCAUACCAAGGCGACGAUCCGUAACUGGUCUGAGAGGAUGAUCAGUCACACUGGAACUGAGACACGGUCCAGACUCCUACGGGAGGCAGCAGUGGGGAAUAUUGGACAAUGGGCGAAAGCCUGAUCCAGCCAUGCCGCGUGUGUGAAGAAGGUCUUCGGAUUGUAAAGCACUUUAAGUUGGGAGGCGUUACCAACAGAAUAAGCACCGGCUAACUUCGUGCCAGCAGCCGCGGUAAUAC